AGCAAGCGGACGAAGGCAUACACGACGGUCGAGGACAAGCUCCUUUGUGAGUGUUGGAGGGACAUUGGGAAAGACCCCAAGGUCGGCACCGAACAAAAGGCAUCAACCUUUUGGAUUCGUGUCCACCGUGAGCACCAUGAGCGCAAGAAGUUUGCGCCGUACCAAAUGCAAAGCACGAGUGGGUGGGUGUCCAUUUCGAAGCGAUGGAGGGUGAUCCAACAAGAGUGCAACAAGUCUUGA
rnacentral:rRNA from 1 species